AGUGUAGUUAGUCGGCGCUUCCCGGAAGUGACGCGAGGACCCGCCUUCUCUCUCGGCGUUUCCGCUGUCAGGGCCUUGCGGUGUGACUCGCGGGCUCAGCUGGUCCGGCCGUAGCACCUCCGCGCCGUCGCCAUGUCGCGGUUUUUCACCACCGGUUCGGACAGCGAGUCCGAGUCGUCCCUGUCCGGGGAGGAGCUCGUCACCAAACCUGUCGGAGGCAACUAUGGCAAACAGCCAUUGUUGCUGAGCGAGGAUGAAGAAGAUACCAAGAGAGUUGUCCGCAGUGCCAAGGACAAGAGGUUUGAGGAGCUGACCAACCUUAUCCGGACCAUCCGUAAUGCCAUGAAGAUUCGUGAUGUCACCAAGUGCCUGGAAGAGUUUGAGCUCCUGGGAAAAGCAUAUGGGAAGGCCAAAAGCAUUGUGGACAAAGAAGGUGUCCCUCGGUUCUAUAUCCGCAUCCUGGCUGACCUAGAGGACUAUCUUAAUGAGCUUUGGGAAGAUAAGGAAGGGAAGAAGAAGAUGAACAAGAACAAUGCCAAGGCUCUGAGCACCUUGCGUCAGAAGAUCCGAAAAUACAACCGUGAUUUCGAGUCCCAUAUCACAAGCUACAAGCAGAACCCCGAGCAGUCUGCGGAUGAAGAUGCUGAGAAAAAUGAGGAGGAUUCAGAAGGCUCUUCAGAUGAGGAUGAAGAUGAGGACGGAGUCAGUGCUGCAACUUUCUUGAAGAAGAAAUCAGAAGUUCCUUCUGGGGAGAGUCGCAAGUUCCUCAAAAAGAUGGAUGAUGAAGAUGAGGACUCAGAAGAUUCCGAAGAUGAUGAAGACUGGGACACAGGUUCCACAUCUUCCGAUUCCGACUCAGAGGAGGAAGAAGGGAAACAAACCGCGCUGGCCUCAAGAUUUCUUAAAAAGGCACCCACCACAGAUGAGGACAAGAAGGCAGCCGAGAAGAAACGGGAGGACAAAGCUAAGAAGAAGCAUGACAGGAAAUCCAAGCGCCUGGAUGAGGAGGAGGAGGACAAUGAAGGCGGGGAGUGGGAAAGGGUCCGGGGCGGAGUGCCGUUGGUUAAGGAGAAGCCAAAAAUGUUUGCCAAGGGAACUGAGAUCACCCAUGCUGUUGUUAUCAAGAAACUGAAUGAGAUCCUACAGGCACGAGGCAAGAAGGGAACUGAUCGUGCUGCCCAGAUUGAGCUGCUGCAACUGCUGGUUCAGAUUGCAGCAGAGAACAGCCUGGGAGAGGGCGUCAUUGUCAAGAUCAAGUUCAAUAUCAUCGCCUCUCUCUAUGACUACAACCCCAACCUGGCAACCUACAUGAAGCCAGAGAUGUGGGGGAAGUGCCUGGACUGCAUCAAUGAGCUGAUGGAUAUCCUGUUUGCAAAUCCCAACAUUUUUGUUGGAGAGAAUAUUCUGGAAGAGAGUGAGAACCUGCACAACGCUGACCAGCCACUGCGUGUCCGUGGCUGCAUCCUAACUCUGGUGGAACGAAUGGAUGAAGAAUUUACCAAAAUAAUGCAAAAUACUGACCCUCACUCCCAAGAGUACGUGGAGCACUUGAAGGAUGAGGCCCAGGUGUGUGCCAUCAUCGAGCGUGUGCAGCGCUACCUGGAGGAGAAGGGCACUACCGAGGAGGUCUGCCGCAUCUACCUGCUUCGCAUCCUGCACACCUACUACAAGUUUGAUUACAAGGCCCAUCAGCGGCAGCUGACCCCGCCUGAGGGCUCCUCAAAGUCUGAGCAAGACCAGGCAGAAAAUGAGGGCGAGGACUCGGCUGUGUUGAUGGAGAGACUGUGCAAGUACAUCUACGCCAAGGACCGCACAGACCGGAUCCGCACAUGUGCCAUCCUCUGCCACAUCUACCACCAUGCUCUGCACUCCCGCUGGUACCAGGCCCGCGACCUCAUGCUCAUGAGCCACUUGCAGGACAACAUUCAGCAUGCAGACCCGCCAGUGCAGAUCCUUUACAACCGCACCAUGGUGCAGCUGGGCAUCUGUGCCUUCCGCCAAGGCCUGACCAAGGAUGCACACAACGCCCUGCUGGACAUCCAGUCGAGUGGCCGAGCCAAGGAGCUUCUGGGCCAGGGCCUGCUGCUGCGCAGCCUGCAGGAGCGCAACCAGGAGCAGGAGAAGGUGGAGCGGCGCCGUCAGGUCCCCUUCCACCUGCACAUCAACCUGGAGCUGCUGGAGUGUGUCUACCUGGUGUCUGCCAUGCUCCUGGAGAUCCCCUACAUGGCCGCCCAUGAGAGCGAUGCCCGCCGACGCAUGAUCAGCAAGCAGUUCCACCACCAGCUGCGCGUGGGCGAACGACAGCCCCUGCUGGGUCCCCCUGAGUCCAUGCGGGAACAUGUGGUCGCUGCCUCCAAGGCCAUGAAGAUGGGUGACUGGAAGACCUGUCACAGUUUUAUCAUCAAUGAGAAGAUGAAUGGGAAAGUGUGGGACCUUUUCCCUGAGGCUGACAAAGUCCGCACCAUGCUGGUUAGGAAGAUCCAGGAAGAGUCACUGAGGACCUACCUCUUCACCUACAGCAGUGUCUAUGACUCCAUCAGCAUGGAGACGCUGUCAGACAUGUUUGAGCUGGAUCUGCCCACUGUGCACUCCAUCAUCAGCAAAAUGAUCAUUAAUGAGGAGCUGAUGGCCUCCCUGGACCAGCCAACACAGACAGUGGUGAUGCACCGCACUGAGCCCACUGCCCAGCAGAACCUGGCUCUGCAGCUGGCCGAGAAGCUGGGCAGCCUGGUGGAGAACAACGAACGGGUGUUUGACCACAAGCAGGGCACCUACGGGGGCUACUUCCGAGACCAGAAGGACGGCUACCGCAAAAACGAGGGCUACAUGCGCCGCGGUGGCUACCGCCAGCAGCAGUCUCAGACAGCCUACUGAGCUCUCCACUCUGUUUCCCGCCUAGGCCAUCCAACCUUGAAGUCCUAAACCACACCUCAGUCACUAAAGAUGGAGUCUCACUCUGUGGCCCAGGUUGGAGUGCAGUGGCACAAUCUCGGCUCACUGCAACCUUCGCUUCCCGGGUUCAAGCAGUUCUCCUGCCUCAGCCUCCCUAGUAGCUGGGGAUUACAGGCACCCACCACCAUCCCCAGCUAAUUAUUUGUAUUUUAGUAGAGAGAGGGUUUCACUAUGUUGGCCAGGCUGGUCUAGAACUCCUGACUUCAAGUGAUCUGCCCGCCUUGGCCUCCCAAAGUGCUGGGAUUACAGGCAUGAGCUACCGUGCCUGGUCUACUUUGUUUAUUUUUAAUUUUAAUUAAACAAAUUUUUUUUCUGUGCAGAAGCUUUUUAGCUUGAUGUAAUUCUAUUUAUCAAUUUUUGCUUUGGUUGUCUGUGUUUUUGAAGUCUUACUCAAGAAAUCUUUGCCUAGACAAGUGUUAUAAAGCAUUUCCCCAAUGUUUUCUACUAAUAUUUUCGUAGUUUCUUUUCUUUUCUUUUUUUUUCUUGAGAUGGAGUCUCACUCUGUCACCCAGGCUGGAGUGCAGUGGCGCAAUCUCAGCUCACUGCAACCUCCACCCCUUGGGUUCAAGCAAUUCUUCCGCCUCCCUCCCUAGUAGCUGGGAUUACAGGUGUGCGCUACCACGCCUGGCUAAUUUUUGUAUUUUUAGUAGAGACGGGGUUUCGCCAUGUUGGCCAGGCUGGUCUCGAACGCCUGAGCUCGGGCAAUCCUCCCGCCUCGGCCUGGGCUGGGAUUACAGGUGUGAGCCACAGUGCCCAGCCUGUAGUUUCUUAUAUAUAAGUUUUUAAUUAAUUUUGAUUUGAUUUUUAUAUAUGGUGAAGCACAGGGGUCUAGUUUUAUUCUUCACACAUAGAUAUAUCUCAUUUUCCCAGCACCACUUAUUGAAGACACCAUCUGUUUCCCCAUGGUAUGUUUUUGGUGCCUCGGUGCAAAAUGAGCUGGCUGUAAAUGCAUGGAUUUAUUUCUGGGUUCUCUGUUGUGUUCCACUGGGCCAUGAAAUCCUUCCUUUCCAAUAUUAUAAAGUCACCAUUUUCCUGUU